AUUGAACGCUAGCGGGAUGCCUUACACAUGCAAGUCGAACGAGUGGCGGACGGGUGAGUAAUAUAUCGGAACGUGCCCAGUAGAGGGGGAUCACUACUCGAAAGAGUGGCUAAUACCGCCUACUAUUGGAGCGGCCGGUGUCGGAUUAGCUAGUUGGUGGGGUAAAGGCACACCAAGGCAACGAUCCGUAGCUGGUUUGAGAGGGCGACCAGCCAAACUGGGACUGAGACACGGCCCAGACUCCUACGGGAGGCAGCAGUGGGGAAUUUUGGGCAAUGGGGGAAACCCUGACCCAGCAAUCCCGCGUGUAUGAGAAGGCCUUCGGGUUGUAAAGUACUUUUGGCAGAGAGGCGGUAUCUGCAGAAUAAGCACCGGCUAACUACGUGCCAGCCGCCGCGGUAAUAC
rnacentral:rRNA from 1 species